rnacentral:rRNA from 1 species
UGCUCAAUGAUUUUUUAAAUUGCUGUGGUAUUUUGACCAUGCAAAGGUAUUGAAAUAAGAUUUUAAAUGAGUGCUAAGAGAAUGGAUGAAUGGAGAUAAGCUUUUUUUAAAAAAAAAUUUGAAUUUAGAUUAAAAAUAAAAAUGUUUUUAUAAUUUUAUUAGACGAGAAGACCCUAAAAUCUUAAAUUAUUAAAAAAUAAUUUUAAUUGGGGCAAUUAAAAAAUAAAAAGUAAUUUUAUCAAGAAAGUUUAAAAAAAUAAAUAGAUAAGAUACUUUAGGGAUAACAGCGUAAUUAUUAUGGAGAGUUCAUAUUGAUAUAGUAGUUUGCGACCUCGAUGUUGAAUUGAUGAGUCUAUAUGGUGGAGAGACUAUAAGAGAAAGAUUGUUCAUCUUUUAAAUCAUUACAUGAUCUGAGUUCAGACCGGA